GUCCACGCCGUAAACGAUGUCUACUAGUCGUUGGGAAUCUUAGUAUUCUUGGUGACGAAGUUAACGCGAUAAGUAGACCGCCUGGGGAGUACGGCCGCAAGGUUAAAACUCAAAUGAAUUGACGGGGGCCCGCACAAGCGGUGGAGCAUGUGGUUUAAUUCGAUGCAACGCGAAGAACCUUACCAGGCCUUGACAUCCUUGGAACUUUCUAGAGAUAGAUUGGUGCCUUCGGGAGCCAAGUGACAGGUGCUGCAUGGCU
rnacentral:rRNA from 1 species